rnacentral:tmRNA from 1 species
GGGGGCGACUGGUUUCGACAUACAAGUUUUGAGCAAGGAAGCAGGUCGUGGUCUCCUCGCCACGUUAAACAGGGGUACUGUCAAGUUAAUUGGCAACAAGAACUAUGCUCUCGCUGCCUAGAUUGAGCAGCGACGUCAACGCGAGAUAAUCCCCGCUCUCGCCACGACGACAUUUUAGGGGAAUGCUCCUGAGUACGUAGUUGGUAUGACUCAGGCUAAGAUUGAACCAACUGGGGAUAUGCCCGUCCGUCGGCAAACCAGCAUAUCCUAAGAUUUGAGCGCCGACUGAGCCUGGAGAAGCUUGCAAUGAGCGUGUAUGGACCGGAGUUCGAUUCUCCGCGCCUCCACCA